rnacentral:rRNA from 1 species
GCCGGAAUUGCUAGUAAUGGCAGGUCAGCAUACUGCCGUGAAUACGUUCCCGGGCCUUGUACACACCGCCCGUCACACCAUGAGAGUUGGGAAUACCCGAAGCCUGUGAGCUAACUUUUAGAGGCAGCAGUCGAAGGUAGAAUCAAUGAUUGGGGUGAAGUCGUAACAAGGUAAC